rnacentral:rRNA from 1 species
UGAGGAAUAUUGGUCAAUGGGCGAGAGCCUGAACCAGCCAAGUCGCGUGAGGGAAGACGGUCCUACGGAUUGUAAACCUCUUUGUCGGGGAGCAAUAAAGCGUACGCGUACGCAGAUGCGAGUACCCGAAGAAAAAGCAUCGGCUAACUCCGUGCC